AACGAACGCUGGCGGCGCGUCUUAAGCAUGCAAGUCGAGCGGCAAGGUGCAGCAAUGCAUCCUAGAGCGGCGGACUGGUGAGUAACGCGUGGGUGACCUACCUAAAGGUUGGGGAUAGCCGUUAGAAAUAGCGGGUAAUACCGAAUGUGGUUGGAGCGCUGUGGCGCUCUAAAGAAAGGGGCUCCGGCCCCGCCUUAAGAUGGGCCCGCGUCCCAUUAGCUAGUUGGAGAGGUAAGAGCUUACCAAGGCGAAGAUGGGUAGCCGGCCUGAGAGGGUGAACGGCCACACUGGGACUGAGAUACGGCCCAGACUCCUACGGGAGGCAGCAGCUAAGAAUAUUCCGCAAUGGACGAAAGUCUGACGGAGCGACGCCGCGUGGAUGACGAAGGCCGUGAGGUUGUAAAGUCCUUUUAUUGCUGAAGAAUAAGCGGGGGAGGGAAUGCCCUUGUGAUGACGUUAGGCAAUGAAUAAGCCCCGGCUAAUUACGUGCCAGCAGCCGCGGUAACACGUAAGGGGCGAGCGUUGUUCGGAAUUAUUGGGCGUAAAGGGUGCGUAGGCGGUUAUGUAAGUCUGUGGUGAAAGGCGGGAGCUUAACUCCCGGACUGCCAUGGAAACUGUAUAACUGGAGUCAUGGAAGGGCAGCUGGAAUUCCGCGUGUAGGGGUGAAAUCUGUAGAUAUGCGGAAGAACACCCGUGGCGAAGGCGAGCUGCUAGCCAAUGACUGACGCUGAGGCAC
rnacentral:rRNA from 1 species